rnacentral:rRNA from 1 species
CGCAUCUGUGCAUGCAGCAUAUCAAUAAGCGGAGGAAAAGAAACUAACGAGGAUUCCCCUAGUAACGGCGAGUGAAGCGGGAAGAGCUCAAAUUUGAAAUCUUAAAGGGUCUCCCUUGACGAAUUGUAGUUUAAAGAAGUGUUUUCUGUUGAGGUUUUGGUAAAAGUUCUUUGGAAUAGGACAUCAUAGAGGGUGAGAAUCCCGUAUUUGACCUUUACUUUCAACUUUGUGAUACACUUUCAAAGAGUCGGAUUGUUUGGGAAUGCAGUCCAAAAUGGGUGGUAAAUUUCAUCUAAAGCUAAAUAUUGGCGAGAGACCGAUAGCGAACAAGUACCGUGAGGGAAAGAUGAAAAGAACUUUGAAAAGAGAGUUAAACAGUACGUGAAAUUGUCAAAAGGGAAGCGUUUGACACCAGUGUUGUUUUUCUGAAAAUCAAUUAAAGAACUGUUUAUGCUAAGCUGUUUAGACUUUAUCAGCUAACUGUUUAGUUUUGAGCUUUUCUUUAAUGCACUUUUCAGUUAACAAGUCAACAUCAAUUUCUUUUGCUGUAAAAAAGCUUGAGGAAGGUGGCUUGAGAUUCGUCUUAAGUGUUUAUAGCCUCUUGCCUAUGCAGUCGGAGAGAUUGAGGUCUGCAGCGUAGAUCCUUCGGGGCUAAAUGCAUUUGUGCUAAGUUAUAGCAUUUUAUAGACAACUUGUUGACUAUGAUUUGUCUUGUAGCUUACUCGCUUAUGUUAUUUUACCUACGCUUAGGAUGUUGAGCGCAUGUCUCUCUCU